AUUUCCCAAAUUGCACACUUUAACAGGCAAAUGUCUCAGAGUCCACGUGGAAGGUCAGUGUUUGGGGAAAGACUGUAAUUAUAAUGAGGUCACAGAGUCCCAGAUUAGAGUCAGAAGGGCCAGCAAAGUCCGUUCCUCGAGGCCUGUAGGGACAGGCCAGUUGAUGAUGGGCCUGGGAGCAGGGGGCGGGUCUCUGGGCUCUGGUCGCAGGCUCUCUGGAGUCUGGGUACCAAACCUGCCGAGGCAGGAUCCGAAGACUUAGCAGAGUCCUCGGAUCCCAGGACUCAGCAAGUCAGCCUAGGAUGGAGACGUGUCUGCCUGCGUUUCAGAGGCCUGACCCGCUGCCAGCACCCUUUCGACUCCGGGAUCUGUUAUCACCUCGCUGUGGCCAAUCCCUUUGUAUUUCCUAUGAAGUGGAGCCAGAAGCCAUCAGCCCUGGAGGGACACGAGCACCUCUUCCCCCCCAACCUGCAGGACGUUUCAUCCAAGGCACAGUCAUCGCUCGUCCGACCGGUUAACGGCCCCCUGCUCCCCCAGCUGCUGGGCUACAGUCUGUUCUCCACACGGCGGCCUGGUGACCACAGCCUGGAGCGAAAUCCUCCUCUGCCUGAAACCUUCGGGCGGGCCCCAGAGGCCAACAGGUGGCGGAACCAGAGCCCCUGGCAAUGCAAGCAUGCGGUCUUAACCCCUGGGCCGCCGGGGAGACCCCGUGGACGUGAUCCCACUGUUAACACAGGAGACACCAUCAGUGCUACGUGUGGGAGAGGGCGGGUGCGUGCUCUCCCUGCUCUGGUCCUGAGUACACAGCCACACACUGUCCAGCGUGGACGCAGCGGUUCUCCAAAUGCUAUGCUCCAACACUUCGGCCACGUGAUGCCAAGAGCUGACUCAUUGGAAGAGACCCUGAUGCUGGGAAAGAUUGAAGGCGGGAAGAGAAGGGGACGACGGACGAUGAGAUGGCUGGAUGGCAUCACUGAAUCCACGGACAUGAGUUUCAGCAAGCUCUGGGAGUUGGUGAUGGACAGGGAGGCCUGGUGCGCUGGAGUCCAUGGGGUCGCAAGGAGUCGGACACAACUGAGUGACUGA
rnacentral:lncRNA from 1 species